rnacentral:rRNA from 1 species
CCUACGGGUGGCAGCAGUGAGGAAUAUUGGUCAAUGGACGCAAGUCUGAACCAGCCAUGCCGCGUGCAGGAGGACGGCUCUAUGAGUUGUAAACUUCUUUUGUACGAGGGUAAACGCAGAUACGCGUAUCUGUCUGAAAGUAUCUGACGAAUAAGGAUCGGCUAACUCCGUGCCAGCAGCCGCGGUAAUACGGAGGAUUCAAGCGUUAUCCGGAUUUAUUGGGUUUAAAGGGUGCGUAGGCGGUCGGGUAAGUUAGAGGUGAAAUCCCGAGGCUCAACUUCGGAAUUGCCUCUGAUACUGUUCGGCUAGAGAGUAGUUGCGGUAGGCGGAAUGUAUGGUGUAGCGGUGAAAUGCUUAGAGAUCAUACAGAACACCGAUUGCGAAGGCAGCUUGCCAGGCUACUUCUGACGUUGAGGCACGAAAGCGUGGGGAGCGAACAGGAUUAGAUACCCGGGUAGUC